GGGAUUGGGCGCCGAGGUGGAUUGCAGUGGGCUAGGCUCAUCCCUAGGGUGGGGAUGUUGACUACCACGGGGCCAUUAGGCUCGGCACCGGCCAGACAGCCUACGGGUGGGUCUCAGGGCCAGACAGCCUUCGGGCGGGUCUCUUCAGAUUUGACAUUGAGCAUUCAUCUUGACAUGUGGACAUUGACUAGAAUAGUAAACUGGACAUUUUACUAUUGCAUUGUGGACUUUAUGUUGGUUGCAUAUUCGCUCGUAUUCUUGGUAGAAUAGCUUUCUU
rnacentral:lncRNA from 1 species